GACGAACGCUGGCGGCGUGCUUAACACAUGCAAGUCGAACGGAAAGGCCCUGCUGUUGUGGGGUGCUCGAGUGGCGAACGGGUGAGUAACACGUGAGUAACCUGCCCUUGACUUUGGGAUAACUUCAGGAAACUGGGGCUAAUACCGGAUAGGAGCUCCUGCUGCAUGGUGGGGGUUGGAAAGUUUCGGCGGUUGGGUAUGGACUCGCGGCUUAUCAGCUUGUUGGUGGGGUAGUGGCUUACCAAGGCUUUGACGGGUAGCCGGCCUGAGAGGGUGACCGGCCACAUUGGGACUGAGAUGCGGCCCAGACUCCUACGGGAGGCAGCAGUGGGGAAUAGUGCACAAUGGGCGGAAGCCUGAUGCAGCAACGCCGCGUGCGGGAUGACGGCCUUCGGGUUGUAAACCGCUUUCGCCUGUGACGAAGCGUGAGUGACGGUAAUGGGUAAAGAAGCACCGGCUAACUACGUG
rnacentral:rRNA from 1 species